rnacentral:rRNA from 1 species
AGAGUGGCGAACGGGUGAGUAAUGCGUGACCGACCUGCCCCAUACACCGGAAUAGCUCCUGGAAACGGGUGGUAAUGCCGGAUGCUCCAGUUGAUCGCAUGGUCUUCUGGGAAAGCUUUCGCGGUAUGGGAUGGGGUCGCGUCCUAUCAGCUUGACGGCGGGGUAACGGCCCACCGUGGCUUCGACGGGUAGCCGGCCUGAGAGGGCGACCGGCCACAUUGGGACUGAGAUACGGCCCAG